AUUGAACGCUGGCGGCAGGCCUCACACAUGCAAGUCGAACGAGUGGCGGACGGGUGAGUAAUGUCUGGGAAACUGCCCGAUGGAGGGGGAUAACUACUUGAACCGGUAGCUAAUACCGCAUACCAUCGGAUGUGCCCAGAGGGGAUUAGCUAGUAGGUGGGGUAACGGCUCACCUAGGCGACGAUCCCUAGCUGGUCUGAGAGGAUGACCAGCCACACGUGAACUGAGACAAGGUCCAGACUCCUACGGGAGGCAGCAGUGGGGAAUAUUGCACAAUGGGAGCAAGCCUGAUGCAGCAAUGCCGCGUGUAUGAAGAAGGCCGUCGGGUUGGAAAGUCCUGUUAGCGAGGAGGCGUUACUCGCAGAAGAAGCACCGGCUAACUCCGUGCCAGCAGCCGCGGUAAUUC
rnacentral:rRNA from 1 species